rnacentral:lncRNA from 1 species
GAGGGGGACAAUUGAACUUUUAAAUUUUCUUUUUAAUUCUAUUAAUUUUGGGAUAAUCAUUAUUUUUUAGGAGUAGGAUUAACAAUAGAUUUUUAUUUGUUUUCUUUUCUAUUUUAAAUUUUCUGUGUAGGAACCCCGCAUGAUAGAAUCACGACAUUUUUGAGCUAACGAUGAAAAAGGAAGGAAGAGCCCACAAAUAGAUUAAAGCAAUGCCACGAUCAAUUGGGUAACUUCUUUCAUUAUCUUUUCAUAGCUACACAUUGAGGAAAAUGUGUCAUCGAAAGUGUGGGGGGGUUAACAUAGGAAAUUUAUUUUUAAUUUUUAUACUUUCUUUUAAUUUUUAUUGUCAAAUUUGUGCUUGAGCUUG